CCUAGUAAUCGCGCGUCACCAUCGCGCGGUGAAUACGUCCCUGCUCCUUGCACACACCGCCCGUCGCUCCACCCGAGCGGGGCUUGGGUGAGGCGUGGUCAAGUUGGCUGCGUCGAACCCAAGUUCCGUGAGGGGGGAGAAGUCGUAACAAGGUGGCCGUAGGGGAACCUGCGGCCGGAUCACCUCCUAUGC
rnacentral:rRNA from 1 species